rnacentral:lncRNA from 1 species
UCCAUCUCUGUAGGGUUUUGUAUAAUUGUAUUUAGUUUAGAUUGACAAAAUGUGACAAGGAAAGUAGCUUUAAUAUGCGUAAAAUUUAUAAAAAUCUCAAGAUGGCGGCUUGCCCGCAAGUUUAUUGGUCCACGUGGCCUAAUCAAACUUUGAGAUAAACCUAGGAUUUUACUAAGAUAAUAAAACUUUCAAAAAAUAAUGGAGAAUCGGCAAUGGACCAAAAGUAAACACUGAAUGUAGAACACACUAGUAGAUUACAUAUGCUUGUAGAAAUUCCUUAUUCCUCAAUCAUCAAAAUGAAGAAACAAAAUAAACAGCAGAUUCCAGAGAGAACUCAAAUGAUUUGACUGGCAUGUGCUGAUCGGAAAGGGAAAACCUAAGUACAAGAAUGUAUACAUUAAGAAGGCAAAGAGGCCUCACAAUAACAAGAUACAAACUGCAUCCUCAAACUACUAUAAAUAUUGAAAAUAAUAUAUUCAAUGAUCAAUGUCACAUCUAAAAAAUUAUCAACUCAAACAAAAUAUCCUCAUGUAUUUAUUAUGAGGUCCUUUCCUCCCAGAAAUACUAAGUUUCUACGCCC